rnacentral:rRNA from 1 species
GAUGAACGCUGGCGGCGUGCCUAAUACAUGCAAGUCGAGCGAACAGACGAGGAGCUUGCUCGUCUGACGUUUGCGGCACACGUGUGAGUAACCCGUGCGUAACCUACUUAUACGACUGAGCUAACUUUGGGAACCGGUAGCUACUACCGGAGAAUAUAUUAAACCGCGUGGUACAAUCGUGAAACACGUUAUUGCUGUCACUUAUAGAUGGCUCAGCACCGCAUCAGCUAGUAGGUAAGGUAACGGGUUACCAAGGCGCCCAUGCGUAGCCGACCGGAGAGGGUGGUCGGCUACAUGGGAACGGAGAAAGGGCCCAGACUCCGACGGGAGGCAGCAGUAGGGAAUCUUACGCGAGGGGCGAGUGGCUGACGGAGCAACGCCGCGGGAGUGAUGAAGGUCUUCGGACGGGAAAACGCUGUUAGUAGGGAAGAACAAAUGUGUAAGUAACCAUGCAGGUCUUGACGGUACCUAAUGAGAAAGCCACGGCUAACUACGUG